rnacentral:rRNA from 1 species
UGACCAGACUCCUACGGGAGGCAGCAGUAGGGAAUCUUUCACAAUGGGCGAAAGCCUGAUGGAGCAACGCCGCGUGCAGGAUGAAGGCCUUCGGGUUGUAAACUGCUUUUAUAAGCGAGAAAUAUGAUGGUAACUUAUGAAUAAGGAUCGGCUAACUACGUGCCAGCAGCCGCGGUAAUACGUAGGGGGCAAGCGUUAUCCGGAUUUACUGGGUGUAAAGGGAGCGUAGACGGCGAAGAAAGUCUGAAGUGAAAGCCCGCGGCUCAACCGCGGAAUGGCUUUGGAAACUUUUUUGCUGGAGUACCGGAGAGGUAAGCGGAAUUCCUAGUGUAGCGGUGAAAUGCGUAGAUAUUAGGAGGAACACCAGUGGCGAAGGCGGCUUACUGGACGGUAACUGACGUUGAGGCUCGAAAGCGUGGGGAGCAAACAGGAUUAGAUACCCCAGUA